UACGUAGGGUGCGAGCGUUGUCCGGAAUUAUUGGGCGUAAAGAGCUCGUAGGCGGUCUGUCGCGUCGGUCGUGAAAACUUGGGGCUUAACCCUGAGCUUGCGGUCGAUACGGGCAUGACUGGAGUUCGGCAGGGGAGACUGGAAUUCCUGGUGUAGCGGUGAAAUGCGCAGAUAUCAGGAGGAACACCGGUGGCGAAGGCGGCCCACUGGUCCGGUACUGACGCUGAGGUGCGAAAGCGUGGGGAGCAAACAGG
rnacentral:rRNA from 1 species